UACGUAGGGCGCAAGCGUUGUCCGGAAUUAUUGGGCGUAAAGAGCUCGUAGGCGGUUUGUCGCGUCUGCUGUGAAAACCUAAGGCUCAACCUUGGGCUUGCAGUGGGUACGGGCAGACUAGAGUGCGGUAGGGGUGACUGGAAUUCCUGGUGUAGCGGUGGAAUGCGCAGAUAUCAGGGAGGAACACCGAUGGCGAAGGCAGGUCACUGGGCCGCAACUGACGCUGGAGGAGCGGAAAAGCAUGGGGAGCGAACAGG
rnacentral:rRNA from 1 species